AGAGUAGUAUAAACCAGUAAUUUUAUGAAAUUUUAAUUUGUACUGACUUUGCUAGUGCUUUUUAUGUGGCUUGUUGUAAAACUAGGCAAAUAUCUAAAUGAGUUGAUUUACCCCCUGGAAAACCUCUGCAUGCCCUCAGGAGUACACAUGACCCUGGUUGAGAACCACUGCUAUAACUCGUCAGUCCAAUUUCUUUGCUAAGGCAACAUGAGCACAAAGAGUAUUACAAAUAGUCCAGCCCAUGCUGUCUAUUUUAAAUUGAUAUGUGAUCAAUAUGAUUAUAUAUCUACCAAUAUAGAUAAAUAUCAAACUAAUAGUUAAAGUUGCAACAAGUCAUCUGUUUUAUACUAAAGAAGAUAAUGCAUUCUACUGGUGUGCUGAGAAGUCAAUGUGUAGUGCAAAUCUUUAAAGUGAACCCAGUGAAAUGUAAUAUGAUGCAAAUGACUAUAGGUUUUGACUAUAUGAUUGGCAGUUGCACAGAAACACAACGUAUGAAGUGAUCCUGUUCUCUUGCAAGUAAAGAGAAGGCAGCUGAAAAUACUGAUGAAAAGGGCAUGAACUCAUGCAAAGCUGGCCAAAGGAUGACACCAUAAGGAGCCCACAGAAAGUAACAUGUAGAAAUGUGUUGAGACUGGAGCUAAGACAGCAGGUAUUCAACUUACGUGCCAAGAUGUUUUGCACAAACUGUACAAAACAUCUUAUGUCAUCCCAAAGAUUUUCAGAGGCAUUUUCAUAGACAAAGUUGCAAGAAUUAAUGAAGGAGAAACCUCAAGUUUUUCACUGAAUGAUGAGAAGGAACACAAUUCAUAUUUUGGUUUCAAAUCCUCACUAGAAACAUGGGUCAUUUUCUGUUUGGCCCACAUCAACUUUGCCAAGAAGAGGAACCAGGCCGUGCUGCCCAGCAGAAACUGUAUAAAAUAUUGGUUUUGUUCAGCAUGUCGCUUUCUGAAGUGGGAACAUCUGCACAAGACAGACUGAAAGCAGGACCAUUAUUGGAUGGCCUCCAAGAGCACAUGCUAGCUGGUAACAACUAAAGUCUUGUCACUGACAAGCGUCUAUUAACUCUGUUUGAAGCCUAUUUAGGGAGACCGCUGCCAAAUCCAAAAAUAUGGUUGUCAUAACACCUACUUGAAUGAAUUUUCUAUCCAUCUUGAGAAAACAGUCAUCACCACUCUUGAGAUGGAACUGGACAAUACAUCUUCAGGU